ACGUUGAUAGGCUGGGUGUGUAAGUGCAGCGAUGCAUUGAGCUAACCAGUACUAAUGAUCCGUGAGGCUUAACCUUACAACACCAAAGGUGUUUUAG
rnacentral:rRNA from 1 species